GUAAUUUCAAUUCAAGGUAAUUAAGCUCAAGCAGUAACUGCAAGGAAAGGUCCAAGAAGAUUUGCUCUUCAUUUGUGCUGUUUUAAGGGCUGGGCUUUGGAUUCCUAGAGAAAACCUACGAAGGUGCUGAGUGCUUAAUGACUUGGCGGAGGAAGACUGUAGGCAGGGUUUGCACUGAGCUUGUGGCACUGUUUGAUGUCCCAACCACCUGCCAGCAGAACAUAGGACUGUUAGGGCUGGUGCACAGCUAUCAUCUGCUACAGCGCCAGGUAUGACUGCUGUGUGGUGUCAGUACAACCUCUGAAGUGCUUUCUGCUGGCUAGAUAGAAUUAUGUCUGUAAUUCAAUGACAGUGAGCCCUUGGAGACUUCUGUCUGCAUAG